GUCAAUCCGUUCGCGGUGAACGUGUGCACCGUAGACUGCUUUUAACGACGUGUUCGCAACGUUGUCGCGGUCUCCGCUCGAAAAUGCAGCAGUCUUACGUGAACAGGAAACUUUACACCUCGGCACUCAUGUAGCCAGCAAAUGGAUGAGCGAAGGAGCAAGUUUGGUUCGCGACAUUUACGGGUAACUCAUUCUGGACAAGCUGGAACACAUCGCCGUGUAAUUCAAAGGAUCGUGGAUGACGCGUGCACAUUCGUCGCACAUCGCCGUCAGUACAGUGACCGACUGAUAAGCGGCCUUGCGGCAGACGAGCACACGGCGACAACUUGCUACAGGACUAGAAACGACACACUCAUGGCUACUUAGAGGCCCGUGGUUGGCAAAAGCCACGCGUCUUUUCGCAAGAAAAGAGCCUCUGGUGACGUUGACAUCUUCCAGAUCAGAGUCCUGGUUUUAAUCAUUGUGGAACUUGCCAGAACAAUACUGGGAAUACGCAAGAUGCUCGCCAUCACAGUUUACACAGUGAGGCGUGUACUAUGACAGUCUCAGGCAUGGCCUUCUUUUCACUAGUUUGCGCAAGUGAGUCAACCAUGGCAACUCUGCAAGCUGUGGCCAAAGCUCCAACACCGAAAGCAUCUUCAUGGUUUUGAAAUGUAUAGUCUCAUGGCAAGCUCUGAUAAACUAUUUCAAUGCUUUGCAGCAGA